CGAAGGGGGCUAGCGUUGUUCGGAUUACUGGGCGUAAAGCGCACGUAGGCGGAUCGUUAAGUCGAGGGUGAAAUCCUGGAGCUCAACUCCAGAACUGCCUUCGAUACUGGCGAUCUAGAGUCCGGAAGAGGUGAGUGGAACUCCUAGUGCAGAGGUGGAAUUCGUAGAUAUUAGGAAGAACACCAGUGGCGAAGGCGGCUCAUUGGUCCGGUACUGACGCUGAUGUGCGAAAGCGUGGGGAGCAAACAGGAUUAGAUACCCUGGUAGUCCACGCCGUAAACUAUGGAAGCUAGCCGUUGGGGGGUUUACCUCUCAGUGGCGCAGCUAACGCAUUAAGCUUCCCGCCUGGGGAGUACGGUCGCAAGAUUA
rnacentral:rRNA from 1 species